GACCAGGCUUCAUUCCCCUCA
rnacentral:miRNA from 1 species